rnacentral:tRNA from 1 species
GCAGUGGUAGUUCAGUGGUAGGAUUCUCAUCUUCCACGUGGGAGACCGAGGUCGAGUUCUUGGCCAAUGUA